UAAUUUUUUUAAAGGGAUGAAUUACCACAUUUUGUUUAUAAUUAUAAGGAUCAAUGGCUGCUUCAGGCCCCCCGUAAAGCCAAGAGUCCAUUUGCUGAGAAAUAGAAACAGAAAACUAAGCUGAUUUGCCUGGAGAACUUCUACAGGCUAAUGGUUUGAGAGAGGUUUUAUCUCUCUAACGAGUGUAAUAUUAAAAUUAGGUGGGUUCAAGAGGGUUUAUUUUUGCAGUAUUUGAACUAAAUAUAUAUAGACAUCUGCAAAUGCCAAUCAUAUAACUUAUGUGGGCACAAUGAGUUGUUUGUGCUAACACAUAUGCUGACAGCAUUUGUUUUAUGCACCUGCUUCUUCUCCAGCUCCAGUUUGCUUCGAUCAUUUUGAUUUUGUUUUAAUGUGCAGGCGUCUGCUGAAGUGUCACCACUUAAAGAGCAUCUGGGCUUGUAUGGGUUUUCAAACUGAAUCCACAUUUUAACAGUUUCUCACCUCUCUAUCUGGAUUAGAAAAUUACCGACAUCAUGGUACAAAGAAGAUGAUAAACUAUAAUCACGAAACGUCAGAUGAAAACACAAGCCUCCAGGAAAGCUGCAGCCAACCAAUUUCACAAGCUUGUUCCAGGAAUGCCUGACCCAGGGUAACUUGAAAAUCAGCACCCCGUAAGUGGGACUCAAAGAAAAAAAAACAGCAACGAUCACCACCAACAAGAAGUCUGUUUUUAUCCCUGUGAGCUACAAGUCUCCAUGACUGAUGAUUUCGCUGAUGGGAACUUCUGGUAAAGAGAAGCAGUCUUUAUCUAGAGGUGCUCCCGGGGAUUUUGGUCUUGUUUACCUCACUGACAUGGAUACCAGGUACAUUUCUAUUGAAAAGUAGCAAUUAACUUGCUAUCUGGCUCUUGUCAACAUUGAAUGCCUAAUUCAUGGAGACUUUGGGAUUUCCAGUCUGACAUUCUUAUUUUGGGGGUCAACUUGGACUCAACCACUAACAAGCUGUGAAGAGCCCAAUAACCUUUGUUUGUCAAAUAGAUACAGUAUAUUCGAUAAUGCAGCCACCCUGGCCCCAGUAGCAUCUCAGCUUUGCUUGAAAAACUGGCAGGUAAUCCUCUGGGAAAAACUAUCUCCUCUAGUCUACCAUUUGAAACAAAAUCACUGGCUCAACAGGGCCUUCAGUUCACAAAAUUUUCCCCGAGAAGUUAGCAAACUAUAGCCUGCAGGCUGGCCACUUUUUUUUUUUUUUUAAAUAAAUAAAACAAAACUAUGUUUUUCAUGAUAAAAAUAAACAGUGCAAAGAAGCAUAUGAGGGAACACAUUUAAAAAUAUUCUUUUAAUA